GAUUGCAUAACUGUUUAAUUAUUAAAAAUUCGAAAUCUUCGAGAGCAUGAGGUUCUUUGUUGAAAUGGAUAGCAACUUCACAAGAACGUUUUUUAGUGAUCAUAGAAGACUUGUGAAUACUUAUAACC